GUCAUGGAGGACUAGUAGUUAGGCCACAGCGCUCUCAACAUUGCAGGCCGGGUUCGAUUCCCGGCCAGGGAU